GGUAGUGUGGCCGAGACAUAGGCGGCGAGCUGUAGCCUCGCCCACUGGGAUUCAACCCACGUUACCAGGCC
rnacentral:tRNA from 1 species